AUAUGCAUUGGCAAUCUGUAACUAUGCUACUAGAUAUCCGGAGGUAUAUCCUUAGCACUCAGUUCAGGUUAAACAUAUUGUAACAUGUUUGAUAAAUAUGGUAUCCAGAGUUGGUGUUCCUUCUGAAAUUGUUACAGACCAGGGGACACAUUUUAUGGCCAAUCUGAUGAAACCUCUGUACCAGCAAUUAGGCAUUAGAGGAAUUAGAACAACACCAUUUCAUCCUCAAAUCGAUGGUCUGGUAGAACGUUUUAAUGGCAUAUUUUAAAAAACAUGCUUAAGAAAUUUGUUGACAAGUCUGGGAGGGAUUGGGACAAAUGGCUUGCUUUUCUUCUUUUUGCAUAUAGGGAGGUCCCUCAGUGCUCAAUUGCAUUUUCUCCUUUUGAGCUUUUGUUUGGCAGGCAAGUUCAUUGUCCCCUGGACGUGCUCAAAGAGGCUUGGACAGCAGAAAAACCACCCCAGUGCAGUAUCACCUCUUACAUCUUGCAGAUGCGGGAUAAGAUGGAGAACUACAGAACUAUGGCCCCUAAAGAAUAUACUUGCGGCCCAACAUAGACAAAAAAAUGGUAUGAUGCACAUGCCCGUGAAAGGGACUUGAAACCCGGGCAGAAAGUUCUGCUAUUUUUACCCUCAGGUAGGAGUAAAUUGUUGGCCAAGUGGCAGGGCCCGUAUGUGGUUACUCAAAAACUGAGAUGUGUAAUUUAUGAGAUGUUAUGCCCUGAAAGAAAGUAGCCAAAACAGGUCUUACAUGCUAAUCUCUUGAGGGAAUUCAAAGGGAAGGUGUCGGUGUCAGAUUAUGAAGAUCUUCAAGAAAGGAAAGACCAGGUGAUGAUGGUGAGGGCCAUAGUGGAGGAGGAAGAGGAAACUGAUAUGGAGCCAGUUUGGGCAUCCUAGGCGACUUACAGCACUUUUUGUUUUUGGAUAACUGUGGCACAGUAAAGAUUAUCUUUUUCUUGAACAUUGUUGGAGUCCUUGCCAUCUUUCUUUACGGCCUGUAGCACUGCAUUGACCAUCUUACCACAUCAAACCUGAGUUAAAUUUUUCUAGCCACACCCAGGCUUGAUUACUGCCAAACUUGUUCGCAAUCAAGAAAAUGCUUAAAAAGGACAAAGUGAAGUUGACCAAAAAAUUAUCAAAAGCUACUUAUCAUGUUAAGAUCCAAAGAAAUUCAAGAACAAAUGAGAAAGAAAGUAACUGUGAUCUAUCAGUCUGGAAAAGGUUAUAAAGCCAUUUCUAAAGCUUUGGGACUACCACAAUGAGAGCCAUCCACAAAUGGAUCAAUAGUGAACCUUUCCAGGAGUGGCCAGCUGACCAAAAUUACCCCAAGAGCACAGUGACGACUCUUCCAAGAUAUCACAAAAGACCCCACAACAACUUCCAAAGAACUGUAGGUCUCACAUGCCUCAGUUAAGUUCAGCAAUGGCUUGCAUAGCAGAGUUACAAGACGAAAACCGCUGCUGAGCAAAAAGAACAUAAAGGCUCAUCUUAGAAAAUACUCUGUGGACUAAUGAGACAAAAGUUAAACUUUUUGGAAGGUGUGUGCCCCAGCAAGUCAGCCUCUGACUUGCUGAAGGAAAAACAAAAUGAAGGCUUUAAAGACUUUUUGUCUUUAUUACCUAACAAAAGGUACUAUGUCAAUUUAAGAAUAUUCAAUCAAAUUUUGUACUUUAGCAGCCACCAGUGGAUGAAAUACAAAGACUCUGAUGAAGACGUUAGAACCCUGACUUCCCUGAUUUCAUUCUUCUUUCUAUACACUGUUCUUCCUGCAUGCAAGCUUGUCAUGUCACGGACAAAACCCAUGAUACUGGACUCCGGGAGACUUUCUUCCUCUGAGCAGCAGAGGAGGCUGACUCUGGGUGUGAGUCUGUAUUGUGAAGCUGGUGGGCAUAUGUGUUUGUCAUGCUCCAUUUGUCCCAAGAAUUCUCUGCUCUCCUUGACCCCAGGUCAGCUGGAAAUCCCUGUACCUUCUGCCGCCAGUGUAAAUUACCAACCUCCCCAACAGCAACAAACUACCAGGUCCACACGAUAACUGUGAAACUCUUGAGUCGACAAUAGAUCAGACUCAGUGCUGGAACUCUAGUUGGACUGCUACAUGUGGAGGAAAUUGAACUGCUGAUUCUACAGUAGAGGAUUCCACUGCAGAUGCCAAACCCAUUCUCUCUUGGGGCACAGGAGAAGUCUUAAAAUGGGAGCCUCUAGCUUACCACCACAUCGAGCAACUAAAAGGGGCCAAGAUAUUCACAAAAUUGGACCUCUGCAGCACCUACAACCACAUAUAAGAAUAUGUGAGGGGGACGAGUGGAAAGCAGUUUUCGUGACACCCAUCGGCCACUGAGUAUCUCGUCAUGCCCUAUGUAUUAGUCAACACCUGGUCCGUAUUUCAAGAUUUCAUGCACUAGGUCGUCUGGGAGUUUCUCCACAAGUUCAUUCUCGUCUACAUCGAUGACAUCCUGAUAUACUCCUUGAGUGAGGCAGAACAUAUCAAAGUAUGUUGCUGAGGUCUUAAAGAGGCUACAUGAGUAUGAACCAAAAAAUGUAUCUUCCAUCAUACCACUGUGCCGUUCCUUGGGUAUACAUCUGGGGUAUGCAGAUGGAUGAGGGGAAGGUCAAAGCUAUCACUUCCUGGCCAGAACUUUUUCGGAUUUGCCAACUUUUACCUUUGGUUCAUUCAUAAUUACAGUACAAUCACAAGUCUGCUUAAUUCACUGUCCUGGAUCCAGGAAGCCACAGAAGUCUUUGCCACUCUUAAGAGAGCUUUCUCCAUUGCUCAUCCUCUUGUAAAUCCAGACCCUGCCCUUCAUAGUUGAGGUCGACACAUCAACCAAUGGAGUAGGAGCAGUCCUAUCACAACAGCAGAGGAUCCCUCCACGCUUCCAUCCAUGUGCCUACUUCUUCCAGAAGCUCAGCCUGGCAGAGAAAAGCUAUGACAUUGCCAACAGAGAGCUGCUAACCAUCAAGUUCACCCUGGAGGAGUGGAGACACUGGUCGGAGGGAGCGUCACA